GAAACUCGAGGUUAGACAAAGGGAAGAAUAAAGUUGAAGACUAAGUUGGUGAAUUUGGCUAUAAUUGGUACCGAGUAUUGCAAAGCUACUUCAAGGAUCCUAAAGAAGUCGGAGAUCGUCCACACUAUCAACCACAACUGCUCGGUAUUUUAUAUCGAAUCACGUUUGAGUUAUGGCAUGUAUAGGGAUUUAGUUAUUUUGUAUGUUUGUGAUUAUGAUUUUGCUAAAGAAUGGUGUGUAAGUAUUUGAUGAUGUAUGGUUAUUAAAAUGGUUAAGUA